rnacentral:lncRNA from 1 species
AAGAAAUCACUGGAACAAUUAGGAGGAGACCCUUGAGAAACUCACCAGAAAAGGCUGACCAAGGUGGCAAAAGUGCAGAAUGCCCAGGUUAGAGAUCUACAAAGCCACAGGGCUUUGCAAACAGGAGGAAGAGACAUUUCUGGCCAACAAAUUAUUAACAACUGCCUCCUUACAAGGAGUGGGGAGGAAACCUCUUUAGCAACACACCACUGAUAAAGAA